UGUUUGGUUCUUGAACUCUUUGUUGAAUGUGAUGCAGCUUCUCCUUUUUAAUGUUUGUAUUUCUGGAUAUUCCAGUGAGGCCACAGCAGGUUUUCAGCAGCAGGUUGUUUAGUGUUUCAUUCCUUCAUCUGUGUGUGGGAGUGUGGAUGGAGCAGGUAUCCAGGGGUUGAUCAGGGUUUAGAUUGAUUGGAUUUUAAUGCUGAUUAUUAAAUCAGGUUGAGCUUCCAGAAAUGUUUCCUUAGUUUCCUGAUGUCCUUUUAGGCUUCAGUGAGUUUCUUCAGGUUGUUACUGAGGGAUUUCCUUUCUCCUCCCUGUUGGAGCUUUUCCUGUGUUUGGAGAAAUGAGUUGUGCUGCAGCAGCACCAACUGUCCUUCCUACAUCCACUGCAGUUUGCAAUCCAGAUGUUGGACUGUUCCUGUCUCAGUGCAGGACAAUGUAUGUCUGAGAGACAUGUAAUGUCCAUGUUUGCUGCUGAAAGAGACUGAUGGUCUGACCCCCCUCCUCCUUUCAGGGUGGAGCCUGCUGGAGGCCCAUUCUUGACACCAGGUCUGAGGAAGUAUUCCUGUCAACUCACCAUCGACACAAACACAGUGGGCAGAAAACUCAAACUGUCUGAAGACAACAGGAAGGUGACAUAUGUGAAGGAGCUUCAGUCAUAUCCUGAUCAUCCAGACAGAUUUGAUCGUCCUCAGCUGCUGUGUAAAACUGGUCUGACUGGUCGCUGUUACUGGGAGGUCGAGUGGAGAGGAGGAGUUUAUAUAUCAGUGAGUUACAGAAGAAUCAGGAGGAAAGGAGACAGUAGAGACUGUUUGUUUGGAUUCAAUGAUCAUUCCUGGAGUCUGAGAUGCUCUAAUGAUGGUUACUCUGUCUGACACAAUAACAUAAAAACUCGUCUCUCCUCCUCCUCCUCCUCCUCCGUCUCUAACAGAGUAUCAGUGUAUGUGGACUGUCCUGCUGGCAUUCUGUCCUUCUACAGAGUCUCCUCUGACUCACUGAUCCUCCUC